UGCUACCUCUGUGCUUUUGAGGAGGGGAUUUGUGUUUAAUUUGCACCUUGAAAAUCCUAAACCCUAAGGAUUCACUCUUAUGGGAAGAAAACCAUGAGCCAACAUCUGCCACGAGGUCCCCUGCUAUGGAGUUCUUAACACAGUCUUAACUCAUUGCUGAACAUCCCACUGAGCAGGAGAAGAAGAGGGAGGGAAGCCUUCAGCCUUACUGGUGCAGAUUUACAACUCUGCUGAAAAGGUGCUCCAAGAUCUGCUUCAAGAAGAUCUUGGUUGUGUCCACAGAAGCAGCUUCAAAAUAUAACCACUCUUGCACCUGCACAUGCCUUGAUUUUAUCUGGGCACAUGCCCAGAUUCUCACAAAAAAAAAGAAAAAGAAAAAGAAAAAAAAAUCAUAAAACUAGUAAAGUAUUUGAUAAAUGUAAAUUACACAUCCUCAUAAAGCCUACAAUCAGUAAAGGAUCUGAGCUGCUUGCCCUGCUCCUCAGGGACAGGACUGUGAAGUGUAUCUGCCACUCCACAAGCAGUGCUUAGAGCACUGGGACACUGUGUUUGUCUGAUUGUCUCCACUAUAUUGCUUCUCCUCUGCUCUUACCUCAGGCAAAUGUCUCCACCUUUCUGUGCCUGCAAGGUAGGGAUAAUAGUAAUACAUCUUUUAUAAAGCAUUAACAUCUGCUAGAGCAAUGGAGAUAUCUAUUCGUAUUAAUAAUAAUUGAUGGUGCCCAUCUGGCACCAAAAAAAGAGCACAAAGCAUUUAGCUGAAAAUAUAGCAGUCAGGAGAAGUGCCUGUGUCAUGUGUUGUAAAUAUGGAAAACAGACUACAAAAGGUCCAUUUAAUUCAUGUGAGAUUCCUCAUUCCUCAUGUACCAUGUUUGGUGCUGAUUUAUUUGAAUUUAGAUGGCAAGAAAAGCUACUCUCACUGCUUUAUGUUGGAUUUUUACUUUAGUUUUCUUUUAUUUUUAAUGAAGCUCUUGCUCAAGCCGUGUGAGCAAGUAUCCAGUAACACACUGUAAAUCACAGUUUGCA
ensembl:lncRNA